rnacentral:rRNA from 1 species
GACGUAGGGCGCGAGCGUUGUCCGGAAUUAUUGGGCGUAAAGAGCUCGUAGGCGGCUUGUUGCGUCGACUGUGAAAACCCGCGGCUCAACCGUGUGGCUUGCAGUCGAUACGGGCAGGCUAGAGUUCGGUAGGGGAGACUGGAAUUCCUGGUGUAGCGGUGAAAUGCGCAGAUAUCAGGAGGAACACCAGUGGCGAAGGCAGUGGUCUGGGCCGGAACUGACGCUGUAGAGCGAAAGCGUGGGGAGCGAACAGG